rnacentral:rRNA from 1 species
AGAGUUUGAUCAUGGCUCAGAACGAACGCUGGCGGCGUGCUUAACACAUGCAAGUCGCGUGCGCAGUUUCCGUAGCAAUACGGGGAUGGGCGCACGGCGCACGGGUGCGUAACACGUGGGCAAUCUGCCCUCCGAUGGGGAAUACCCCCGCGAAAGCGGGACUAAUUCCGCAUAACAUUCCUUGGAUUAAUUUUCGAGGAUUCAAAGCAGCAAUGCGUCGGAGGAGGAGCCCGCGCCCGAUUAGCUAGUUGGUGAGGUAACGGCUCACCAAGGCAAUGAUCGGUAGCUGGUCUGAGAGGAUGGCCAGCCACACUGGAACUGAGACACGGUCCAGACUCCUACGGGAGGCAGCAGUGGGGAAUCUUGCACAAUGGGCGAAAGCCUGAUGCAGCGACGCCGCGUGGGGGAUGAAGCUUUUCGGAGUGUAAACCCCUUUCGACUGGGACGAAUGCCUCGCAAGAGGAGUGACGGUACCAGUAUAAGAAGCCCCGGCUAACUACGUGCCAGCAGCCGCGGUAAGACGUAGGGGGCCAGCGUUGUUCGGAAUUACUGGGUGUAAAGGGUUCGUAGGCGGUGUGGCAAGUCGGGAGUGAAAUCUCUGGGCUCAACCCAGAGACUGCUUCCGAAACUGCUGUGCUUGAGUGUGAGAGAGGCUCGUGGAAUUGCAGGUGUAGCGGUGAAAUGCGUAGAUAUCUGCAGGAACACCCGUGGCGAAAGCGGCGAGCUGGAUCACUACUGACGCUGAGGAACGAAAGCUAGGGGAGCAAACAGGAUUAGAUACCCUAGUAGUCC